ACCGAGCUACAUUCAAGGCCAAAAAUGUAUCGUCCACCACUUUGCCUAUUCUUCCUCCAAAAGUUGCAUCUCUCAACAAACAUUGGUCAAUUGUGCCUUAGGGACUUGAGUAAGUCCUUCCAUGUGCAUAGUUUAUCUUGGACUGAUGUGUAUGCAUCUAAAGCAGGCAUGUUAUCUUCCAAGAAAGAUAUCUUGACGUUAAGCUCAUCGAUGCAAGUUAUCAAGGUAUC
rnacentral:lncRNA from 1 species